CAACACUACUAUAUAACAAAUAAUUUGAGUAGAUUGAAUGGUAAAUAUGAGCUCUACUGUAUUAAAACACAAACGUGCAACAUUGGAACGAUUAGAAAAAUACAUUUCUGAGAUCUACUUUACAGAUGUCAAUUUAUUUGGAAGAGUGGAUUCCAAAAUCCCACAUUGUAAGCUGUAUCGUUCCCUAGCAAGAAAACAAACUUACCAGGCUUUUGAAAGUGUGAAAAAUGGAGUAUUCCAACUUAUAACUGAAGGGGAAGAGUUUAAACCAUUAUGGUCUCAACACUGGGUAAAAGUGAUCAUUCCUGCCAAUGUGUGUAACAUGGAAAAUGUCUACCUCCAUUGGGACGUUAGUGGAGCUGAGUCACUUGUAUGUGAUAAAGAUGGCAACCUAAUUCAG